AGAGUUUGAUCCUGGCUCAGAGCGAACGCUGGCGGCAGGCCUAACACAUGCAAGUCGAGCGAACUCUUCGGAGUUAGUGGCGGACGGGUGAGUAACACGUGGGAACGUGCCUUUAGGUUCGGAAUAACUCAGGGAAACUUGUGCUAAUACCGAAUGUGCCCUUCGGGGGAAAGAUUUAUCGCCUUUAGAGCGGCCCGCGUCUGAUUAGCUAGUUGGUGAGGUAAUGGCUCACCAAGGCGACGAUCAGUAGCUGGUCUGAGAGGAUGAUCAGCCACAUUGGGACUGAGACACGGCCCAAACUCCUACGGGAGGCAGCAGUGGGGAAUCUUGCGCAAUGGGCGAAAGCCUGACGCAGCCAUGCCGCGUGAAUGAUGAAGGUCUUAGGAUUGUAAAAUUCUUUCACCGGGGACGAUAAUGACGGUACCCGGAGAAGAAGCCCCGGCUAACUUCGUGCCAGCAGCCGCGGUAAUACGAAGGGGGCUAGCGUUGCUCGGAAUUACUGGGCGUAAAGGGAGCGUAGGCGGACAUUUAAGUCAGGGGUGAAAUCCCGGGGCUCAACCUCGGAAUUGCCUUUGAUACUGGGUGUCUUGAGUAUGAGAGAGGUGUGUGGAACUCCGAGUGUAGAGGUGACCAGUGGCGAAGGCGACACACUGGCUCAUUAC
rnacentral:rRNA from 1 species